GACACGCUCAUAUGAACUUCUCACUUUGUCGUACUCCUUCCUUGCUGACCAAGAGGAACAGAACACAGAGCAGCCUGGCGGUGUCCUACCAACAAGCCUCCGUUUCUCCUUCCUGUACGCUGGGGCUCCUGAAACUCACCUGAUGAAGUCUCCGUCUGUCACCCAGGCUGGAGUGUAAUGGAGCAAUCUCAGCUCACUGCAACCUCUGCCUCCCAGGUUCAAGCGAUUCUCUUGCCUCAGCCUCCCGAGUAGCUGGAAUUACAGGCACAUGCCACCACGCUCGACUAAUUUUUUGUAUUUUUAGUAAAGACGGAGUUUCACCGUGUUGGUCAGGAUGGUCUCCAUCUCUUGACCUCGAGAUCAGCCAGCCUCGGUCUUCCAAAGUGCUGGGAUUACAGGCGUGAGCCACUGUGCCCGGCCUUGGUUUCUAACUACUAUUUGGAAGGAUCUGUGGAGAAAUGGUUACUUCGAGGGCUGGGGCAGGAAUAUAUAAGAUAACAUUGGAACAAAUUGUGACGCCAGAACAUGAAGAAAUAUUUUAAAAAGGAUGGGGCAUGUUGACUGAACACAGAAGACAAGCAUGCAUGACCUCAGCCUAAUCGUGAGAAAACAUCAAAGAAAUCCAAAUUGAUAAACAUUCUGUAAAAUAAUUGGCCAUGCUCAGCAAAAGUGUCACAAUCACAAAAGACAAGGGAAGAAUAAGAAACGGUCACAGCCUGGAGGAAUCUAAGGAGAGAUAACAAGUAAGUGCAAUGUGAGAUCCUCGAUUCGAUCUUGGAGAAGAAAGAGGACAUUAAGAGAAAUAUUGACAAAAUUCAAAUAAGGUCUGCACAUUAGGUAAUGGUAAGAUAUGCUGACAUCAAUUUCCUGGUUGGAUAAUUGUAUUACAUAUACUAUUAUAUGUAAUAUAAUAGUGAUCCUCUCACUUCAGCCUCCCGAGUAGCUGGGAUUACAGGCGCAAACCACUGUGCCUGGCUUCACGAGAAAAAAAUUAAAUAUAUAAUUGGGACUAGGUAAAAUAAUACUAAAUAAGAAAUAAUUUGAAUGCAUACUAUAUUAACUCUGGAAUAACAAUACUUAAGUAAAGUAAAAGUGUUUGUUAUAACAAAGGGAAGCUUGUAGUUCAGAGGAUAGCUAAAUUAAAUUUGUUGCAGGGUGUGAGAGACAUAACAAACAUAAACACAUGAAAUAUGUAGAUUUUUAUAUUUUUAUUGAAAAUUGGAUAGAAAUAUUUGGUUUGUUCAGUUGGAACAUGUGAGUUGAUUAUUAUGCAUAUAAAUAAACAGACAUUCAGUGUAGGGGCCAGCCCUACAGGGUCUGUGGCUCUUUCUCCCCUUGUGCGGCGACGAGAGAUCGUAGAAAUAAAGACACAAGACAAAGAAAUAGAAGAAAAGACAACUGGGCCCGGGGGACCACUACCACCAAGAUGCGGAGACCAGCAGUGGCCCCGAAUACCUGGCCGUGCUGAUAUUUAUUGGAUACAGAGCAAAAGGGGCAGGGUAAGGAGUGUGAGUCAUCUCCAGUGAUUGAUAAGGUCACAUGAGUCACGUUUCCACCGGACAGGGGGCCCCUCCCUGUUUGGCAGCCCUGGUGGAGAGAGAGAGGAGACAGCUUAUGCCAUUAUUUCUGCAUUUCAGAGACUUUUAGUACUUUUACUAAUUCUGCUACUGCUAUCUAGAGGGCGGAGCCAGGUGUACAGAGUGGAACAGGAAAGUGAAACAGGAGCGUGACCGCUGAAGCACAGCAUCACAGGGAGACGGUUAGGCCUCCGGAUAACUGCGGGCGGGCCUGACUGAUGUCAGGCCUUCCACAAGAGGCGGUGGAGCAGAGUCCUCUCUAACUCCCCCGGGGAAAGAGAGACUCCCUUUCCUGGUCCGCUAAGUAACGGGUGCCUUUUCUAGGCACUGACGCUACCGCUAGACCAAGGUCCACUAAGUAACAGGUGCCUUCCCAGACGCUGGCAUUACCACUAGACCAAGGAGCCCUCUAGUGGCCCUGUCUGGGUGUGACAGAAGGCUCGCACUCUUGUCUUCUAGUCACUUCUCACCGUGCCCCUUCAGCUCCUAUCUCUGUAUGGCCUGGUUUUUCCUAGGUUAUGAUUGUAGAGUGGGGAUUAUUAUAAUAUUGGAAUAAAGAGUAAUUGCUACAAACUAAUGAUUAAUGAUAUUCAUAUAUAAUCAUAUCUAUGAUCUAGAUCUAGUAUAACUAUUCUUAUUUUAUAUAUUUUCUUUAUUAUACUGGAACAGCUCGUGCCCUCGGUCUCUUGCCUCGGCACCGGGUGGCUUUCCGCCCACAACUCAGGUGUUGCAGAUAAAUUCAUUUGUGGUAAAAUAAAACAUUUGUAUAGGGUUUUGGAAUUCAAAUCUUUAAAAUCACUUCUCUGAAUUUCCAUUAGAUGAUUAUUGCUACCAAUAAAAUUUUAGUAGCUAAACACAACCACCUUCUAAGAACUUAGAACUCUCAGACUGGGCACGAUGGCUCACGUCUGUAAUCCCAGAACUUUGGGAGGCCAAGGCAGGCAGAUCACCUGAGGUCGGGAGUUCAAGACCAGCCUGAGCAACAUGGAGAAACCCCGUCUCUACUAAAAAUACAAAAUUAGCCGGGCAUGGUGGCGCAUGCCUGUAAUCCCAGCUACUCAGGAGGCUGAGACGGGAGAAUUGCUUGAACCUGAGAUCGCGCCAUUGCACUCCAGCUUGGCAAGAAGAGAGAAACUCCGUCUGAAAAAAAAAAAAAAAAGAACUUAGAACUCUCCAAUAGUAAAUGGCCAGUUCCCUCAGAAUAAAAACCAAAAUAUUUCAACCAAGGUGAACUUUGCAUAAUUAAUUCAAUUGUUACACUUUCUUCUUAAAGAAGUUGUGAAGAACUUCAAAAUGACGUGACUAUAUAACAAUAGUGAGAUGCAAACAAAGAACAAAAACUACCACAAAAGAAAUUGUGAAUUUCAUUCAGCAGCUUUACUGUUAGUCUUAAUAUGGUGCUUUUUAGGAGUUGGUUUUGCAUUGCUCAGUAGCAGAGAUAUAAUUAUGGCUUGUUAUAUGUGGUAAUAUAAUAUAAAAGUAUACCCUCUCUAGCCUUGUCUACUGACAGAAUUACGUGCAAUGUCACAGCAAGAGCCUGAUGCCCAGAAUUCUUGUUUUGAUCUGUAAAUCUCUAAUAGUAAUUGUGAAGAGCUCAACUCAGUAUGGAAGCUGAUCUGGUCACGCAUUUUUUUUCAGCAUCUUAAAUAAACAGCACAGAGUCUGAGGCCACACUAUGCUGGACACACUGUAAUCGCACAAACAAAAUUGUAGGGCUUUGUUCCAAGAUGGUGUUAAGACUUGAUCUAUGGAUCAGAUCAACUUGUGGGUGAUUCAGAGGUGCACCCACUAGUUCCCUGCAACCAGAAAUUGUAAACCUACUUGCGUGUUUAAAGAUGCUUGAAGCAAUAUUGCAGAGAGAGGAUGGUGAGACAGUGGAGUGCUGCUGUAUGAUGGAUCCUGCUGUGUCGCUCAGGCUGGAGUGCCGUGACAUGAUCACAGCUCACUGCAUCCUUGAUCUCCCAGGCUCAACCAAACCUCCCACCUCAGCCUCCUGAGUAGCUGGAACUACAGGUGUGCGCCACCAUGCCUGGCUAAUAUUGUGUGUGUGUGUGUGUGUUUGUGUGUGUGUGUGUGUGUGAAGACGAGGUCUCACUAUGUUGUCCAGGCUGAUCUCGAACUCCUGGGCUCAAGUAAUCCUCCUGCCUGAGCCUCCUAAAGUGCCGGGAAUUAUAGGAGUGACCCACCAUGCCCAGCCAGAACAGUAUUUCUGAGAACAGUUUUUGAAAACUGUCUUGAAUGGUUAAAAUAACAGAAUGACCAAAGUAUGAUUUCUUUUUUUUUUGAGACAGGGUCUCACUCUGUCGCCCAGGCUGGAGUGCAGUGGCGCGAUCUCCACUCACUGCAAGCUCCGCCUCCCGGGUUCACGCCAUUCUCCUGCCUCAGCCUCCCAAGUAGCUGGGACUACAGGCGCCCGCCACCAUGCCCAGCUAAUUUUUUGUAUUUUUAGUAGAGAUGGGGUUUCACCGUGGUCUCGAUCUUCUGACCUCGUGAUCCGCCCACCUCGGCCUCCCAAAGUGCUGGGAUUAUAGGCUUGAGCCACCACGCCCGGCCAAAGUAUGAUUUCAGGAACUCACUAGCAAGCAGUGUGGGUGUUUGGAUGUGAGACUUGAGAGAAUAACUGGAAAGCUGGCAGAGAGCAGCUCUGCCACAGUCUGAACUCCCCGUGUCUUUCCAAGUCUAUAAUAUGUUUUGGAGUCCAGUAGUUGAGACUCCAACUGUGUAGCUGGAUAAAGCAAGAUGAUAAUAUUCCCACAGCAAGGAGGACUACAAUCCAUGUUUUUAUCACAGCAAAACAUAUGUCACUCAGGAAGCAAAUUAUGUAAGUGUUUAAAAUCAUUUCAGGCCAGGUGUGGUGACUCACACCUGUAAUCCCAGCACUUUGGGAGGCCAAGGCCGGAGGAUCACUUAAGCCCAGCGUCAGGCCUCUGAGCCUAAGCUCAGCCAUUGUAACCCCUGUGACCUACACAUAUACGUCCAGAUGGUCUGCAGGAGCCAAGAAGUCUGGAGCAGCUGAAAAACCACAAAAGAAGUGAAACAGCCAGUUCCUGCCUUAACUGAUUAACCCACCUUAUGACAUUCCACCAUUAUGACUUGUUCCUGCCCUGCCCCAACGGAUCAGUCGACCCUGUGACAUUCUUCUCCUGGACAAUGAGUCCCAUGAUCUCUCCACAAUGCACCUUGUGAGCCCCUCCCCUGCUGACAACAGAUAACCACCUUUAACUGUAACUUUCCACUGCCUACCCCAGGCCUAUAAAGCUGCCCCUCUCCUAUCUCCCUUCGCUGACUCUCUUUUCGAACUCAGCCCACUUGCACCCAAGUGAAUAAACAGCCUUUGUUGCUUACACAAAG